rnacentral:rRNA from 1 species
CAAAUCUCAGCGAUGGAUGUCAUGGUUUGAAUGCUGAUGAAGGGCGCAGCGAAGUGUGAUAAGCAUUGCGAUGUGCAGAAUUCCGUGAACCAUUAGGAACUUGAGCGCACUUUGCACUUUCGGGACAUUCCUGGGAGUAUGCCUGCUUCAAUGUCU